UACGAAUGGGGCAAGCGUUGUUCGGAAUCACUGGGCUUAAAGGGUGCGUAGGCGGUCAAUUAAGUCAGUGGUGAAAUACGACAGCUCAACUGUCGAGGUGCCAUUGAUACUGGAUGACUUGAGUACAGACGAGGUAGGCGGAAUUGACGGUGUAGCGGUGAAAUGCAUAGAUAUCGUCAAGAACACCGAUAGCGAAGGCAGCUUGCUAGGCUGUAACUGACGCUGAGGCACGAAAGUGUGGGGAUCAAACAGG
rnacentral:rRNA from 1 species